GUGUCUUUUUUUUUUGUCGUGUGUAUAGCACUGCUGUUGUCUCCAGCGGAGAAGAAAAUUCGACGACGUCUAUUUGGAGUAAAGCACACAAGUCGUACCACGUAAGUAGGAACCAAAAAUCCGAGUUCGUCAUGAGAACUUGAGCUCAAGUGGCCAAGUUGUGAGCGAGACUCCCUGCACUCACCCACCCAAGAUUAUCCAUACCCCCUAAAAUUUCACACAGUAAAAGUGAAGUUAGUUUCCUGUUGAGUAUUGAAACUUAACAUGGAAAUUCCCCAGCACCACUGCUAAUCCGAGGUAGACGCCGAUCAAUCUAUUGGCUUCAACAGUGAGAGCACUGACCAGCAGUAAGAUGGAGAUUGCGUACGUAUGAGGUAGGGCGAAUAUGAAAUUGGCCUUUGACCAUCUCCGGUGGGCAACAACCGUAGAACACAUGCGUCGCUGGCGUGGCAAUGCAUCACGCCCCGCCCGAUCAUGGGAAUUCCGCCUUUUCUUCUAACGGGAAAACGACGUGAUGAUGAUGAUGAUGAUGAUAUACCCUCUCUCAGCUUCUCAAGAGUAUUCCCUUGAGGUGAAAAGGGGUUACCGCAUGCGCAUGAGCUGGUGGAGCUGGCACGUCGCGCUCACGCGCAAUUCGCCCGGAUCCAGAUGAGCUCAGCAACCCGAGAAGCACGAGGGCGUGAGCCAACGAACGGUGGGUGAAUUGUGUUGAGAGAGAAAGGGACGGUGAAAAAUAUCAAACUGAAAUGGUCAAGACUUUCCAGAAGAUUUGCAUCACUUGGGCUGAGCGAGUCUAUGGCCAAUGAAUCGCCGGAAAGCAUUCUGAUGACGCUCAAAGCCUGAAAAAUACACGCAUGCAUGGGCAUGGCGACGACAUUCAGGCCACUUGAUUCUGAUCGCUAGGUAGAUCUGCUUUUCCUCGGAGCGUUCAAUUUUUCUUUCGCAAUUCCUAUCAUAAUUGAAUUGAAUCAAAUUAUUUCUCAAGAAAUUCAUGUGAAAUUCCCAUGGAUUUCCCGAGUUCCUUCCACGGCCUGAAUUUCACCAGUAAUGUACAGUAAUCUUGAUAAGGAGAUGACAUAACAUCGACACGACGACUCUGGGAAUCCAAAUUACUGUUCCUGAGCUAGCACAAUCUACAGGAGACGUGGUCACAGAUUAAUCGACUGAUGUCACCCCAAGGGGCAUCUAAAACUCUAGCAAGGAGUAUUAAAAACGUGUAGAAGCAAUCGUGUGACGACGACCCCGAUCGACAGCAACGUUGUCGCGCCGGCCUACGUGGCGCGACGAAGGCCACGGUAGGACGACGUGGGGUGGAGAUCCGGAGGAUCGCACCCUGACAUCAACGUGUUUGACAAGUAGCUACCCGGUGGUUGGAUGACAGUAGUACUCCCUCCGUCCGAAAAUACUUGUCAUCAAAAUGGACAAAAAAGAAUGUAUCUAAAACUAAAAUACAUCUAGAUACAUCCCUUUUAUUCAUUUUGAUGACAAGUAUUUCCGGACGGAGGGAGUACUUGAUAAUUAGAGAUAGCACUUGAUUAAUUACACAACUAGGAGUACGUACUACCGGUAAUGGCCUGCCAAGACGAACGGCUCCUGGCCAGUUGAUGUCACGCCCCUGGAUGUUAAUUGAGGUACAAUUGCUCAGAGAAAACAAGCAUCCAGGCUUCUUUGGAUGCUACCUAUCAGGGUUUGGUGUCAAAAACGUUCUUAUAUUAGAGGACGGAGGGAGUACCUAUGAUUAAUUAGGCUGCGGUGCUGCCUGAGCAUCAUCAAAGUCCAAGGGAAUGAACCUAUUCUAUCCUCCCUUGUGCCAAACCGACAGGACGGAGUUGUGCUGGCCUAUCACAACUUGCUUGAUGCCCGAAACGAACAUGGACCCUCCCUCUAUAAGGCUGGCUGGAGCGGAACAAAAGCUAGCUAGAUAGGAGGGUCAGGCAUCAAUAUCAUCAUCAUCAUCGUCGUCGUCGUCGUGAUGCAUCGUUGUUGUGUACCACUACCUGUUUUGAUGCCAGGGAACCCUUUUCUUUUCUUUAGAAGAAGAAGCACUUUAUAUUAGUGCAAAAAUACCACAUGGAUAUGCCGGUUUAUUGGUCGCGAUUUUCAUAUGUAAAAGCGCAGAGAAUAAAAAUGGAAACAUACCAUGGUACAACUACAGAAUACCCCUGGGAAGAAAAGCAUGGCUAUUUAUCGGCUGCGAUUUCCAUUGUGUACGUGGUGAACUGACCUGCGAUGCCGGGCGGCGUCUUAUCCAGACACGGAGAUGAUGAAGCCAUGGGAUGAUGGGCAAAGGGUGCUGCUGUCACGAGGUUGGCCCCGUGAAAGCAACCGGCAUGUGUGCACCCUGGCUCCUGGAUAGCCCUUGGGGCGAUGCAAGGGCCAAAUUGUGUUGUGUGUGUACAAAUCAUGAUAAUAUCUGGAUUGGGACAUGGGCAGGGUGUCAAGAUAGAUGAUAGGCUUCAGCGCAGCACGAACCUGGACAGACACAACAAAAUGAGUGAUGAUGAAGGCAAAACAACUGGGCAGACACAACAUGUGAUGUCAAUCAAAACGAAUGGAACCUUUGCACGGAUGAGCGCACCUCUCUGUCCAGAUCAAGCAGAAGAUACCACCAUGAAGAAGAAAAGGCUUUGUUUGGACCACAGCGGUUGGUUUCUCCAUGGCGAGGGAGGUGAAGGGGGUUCGGAUGCCGUACCUUCGCCGCGAACAUCUGGCACUUUAGAGUCCUUGAAUCAGCUGAAUUGCGGUGUUCUUGGUCCUUUGAGGUGGGUGGUAUGCUUGAUCCUUUGCAGAUCAUAAAGGGAAACAACUGAACCAGACAAUGGUGUUCAGAAGCAGCGACUGUUGCAGGCUUCGCACUUGAGUUAUCUGAAUCCAUCUGAAGCCUUCGAGCUCAAGAGGGAUCAGGUGUACAAAUCAGUGACCAAACUCAACAAACUUGCCGAUAUCAACAUUUCCCCAGAAUAAAUGUAAUCAGGAGGGGAGUGGGCAUGCAACAGAAAAGUACAUACAGGGAACAAAACAGAAAGACUGAAGUGUUUGCAUUACUCUGUUAAAUCAACAAAUUAAGGGUGCAACGUACUACAAAGAUGUGACUGAGUACAGGUCACGAAGGUACAGAUCGACAGCUAUAGAUUUAACAGCAGCCAGCCUUCUGGACUCAUGAUCAGUAUGGCAAUAAUGCAACAUAACACAGGCCUAGCACCGAACUGACACGAGCCGGCGAGUGAAGCGCAUGGGUAUCCAUUUCUGCAUUUCCAUGGACCUCCACAUUGACGGGUAUAUAUAUGGGAGCUUCUGAAGACAGCUUUCCAAAAAGGUUUGCUACUUAGUUUCAUGAACUGAACAAAAGCACAGUAGGCCCCUAAAGCCAACUGGCACCUCUUCACGAUCGAAAGUGUUUCUUCUACCUCUACAGUGAGUCAAACCACAAAUCAAAGUCAGCCGAUACGUUCGAGGAUCCAGAAGGUGGAGGUGCGUUGGCAUUCGAGAUGUUCUGUUGCCCCUGUACAGGUGUAGCUUGUUUCUGGUCACUCAGGCAGAAAGGGGUGUUGGCAAGCAAAUCAUCCACAGAAUCAUCGAUAGAUGUUACAUCAAUCUGCUUGGCAUAUCUGAAGUCAACGUUGCUGUUGGAGUCAAAAGUUGGGCGAGAAGAUAAACUUGAUGCAGCAGAACCAUCAUUCUGGACAGAUAAGCAUGUCUCUGAAAGCAAGGCAUCUAGAUCAUCAUCAACAGGAGAAAGUGCCAGCGAUUUGGACGUGGUGCUGCUAGACGUGACUUUAUCAUUUGACUCAUUGAUCUUCAUACCUACCAAAGCAGAACUACUUCCAAACGACUCAUCUAAGCUGGAGCUGGAAAGGUGAGUUCCAUCGAGUGAAUUAAGAAGCAUAUCAAGCUCUUCCUCUGGAGCAACCAUCCCAAGCUUCGACUGUUCUCUAUGCCCUGCAUUUGGAACAGUAGCUGUGAUUCCUGUGUAGGCUUCAGUGUCUGAAUGCAUAGGUCGAGGAAUAACUUUGAGUGAUGUUGUAGCUUCUUCUUCUGCAAAACAUUCCGACUGAUGAUGUGUUUUCAUUGGGUCAUCAGAAUGAAUGUUGCUGGCAUGGUCAGGACUAACAGCAUCUUUCCCAGGCUUUAUGUCCCUGAAGUUAUGUUGAACCAAACUGCCUUUAGCAUCAGACUCCAAUGUUGUGCCCAACUGAAUCAGUAUUUCAUCAUCUUCGUCUUCAGAAGCAACAGCCUAGGGAAUAACAAGAUGAAUCGGCUUAGGAGAAAUCAGAUGAACAGAUGGAUAUCAAGUUAAGCUGAACGGCUUUGAAAGAGUCUUAAGCAUACAUCCAUGUUUAGCAUACAAGAUCAUAAUGUCACCAACUCAAUAUUUAUAAAAUAGGCACAUGCAUACAACUUCGGGGUCCUGGCUCCUGGAAUUAGGACCUUAUAGACACAUGCAUCAAUAUUGAUGCCUUGAUGGCUCAGAUGAGCACCUCAACAGGUCAACAGCAGCUUUAUCUCAAUACUGUAUGAACCAUAUAGACGACAAAUUAAGGGCGGAGGGUUUAAUCAUCCAAGUGUAAUCGGCCAAACAGUGAAAUAGGGAUAAAAUGUCCACUCAAACUCAUUGCCCUAUAUAAUCAUUAUGGGUGGGUACUGCUCCAAUGAAAGGAACAAACGUGCUCCUCCAAUGAAAAUAACAUCAUCGGAAUAAUACAGAAGCUUAUAUAAAUUUUAUUGCUUCAAUUAGCGACAGAGUAUGUAGUGCAGGAAAUUGCCGUGAUAGUGAAUGCAGCAACAAGCAGUGGCCAGAAUAGCCAAAAGGUCAGAUGCUGAAGCACCCUAUCCUUGUUGCAGAAAAUUGGUAGAUCAGCGGAGAAAAUGGUAGCAUAACAAGGCAGAUGGGUUAGCUAGAUGGUUUGCGAAAGUGCACAUAAAUAUUUAGAUUGCAGCAAUUGAUAAGGUUUGCAUACCAAAUGCAUAUGUUUAUGGUAGUGUUCGUCAGGAAAUAUGAAUUUAGAUUGAAGGUUUCUUCGUGUACAGAUUGGAUUAGAGUUUAUCAUCCAUUUUCAUUGAAUAUAAGAUGGACCUCUCCAAAAUCUACCAAAUCAUCAAUUCGUUUACACCUCAUAAUAUAUUACAUGUGAGAUAAACUACUCUAUCUAUCAGCAAACUUGCUGCACCUAAUGCCAAAAUCUACCACAAUUAAUUUACUUCAUUGCCAUUUGUCAAAAUUAACCUCAGAGGUUAUUAUAAAACUGGAAACUACCAACUGAAAGGAAAGUACCAAUACGAAACAAAUUUAGCAACUGGAAACAGAAAUUGCAGUACUGUUUUUACUAAAAGAAGGCAAUCUUAGUACUCUUCCAUGAUUCAAUAUUUAUAACAUCUGCGAAGCUGGACACGGUAGCAAUAGAACAGAAUGUAGUACCAGAUCCUCGGGUAGUAAAUCUUCUUCCAUAAAAAGUCUCUGGGAGAGCUUAAUCUUUGAGAGCUUGGUGGCCAAUGCAUGGAGAUCCAUGGAGAGAAAAGGCACCUGAAAUUAGAAGAUCGUAAGUAAAAAACCACAAGGGUCCACCAAUCCAAAUAAAGUUCUACAUUACUUCAUAUCCUUUUCUGUUCAACAAUCUAAUACGCUAAUAUUGACUAUUUGAUCCAAACACAUUUUCCUUCCAUAAACUUUGACAGGAUGCUCAGACAAGGAAGGGACCAAGGGCAACUCCUGCCAGAAUCCCAUGCAUUUUUGAACAAAAUAUUGCUCCCAGAAAAUUAUCUAUACCAAUUUUAACACAAUAUCAAACCCAACGCUUGUGUAGAAAGGCAGGGAUUGGACCUAAACAUCACCUAUCCAAACAAGCAUCAAACCAGGUUGUAGAUUGCGUAAAAUAAUACAUUUCACAAACAUGAUAUAGCAAAGUAGCAGAUCUGUACCUCAAAAUCUGGUGCUAAAUCAUCCUCUAAUAUGAAAUUAUCGUCUUCAAACCAGGACAUGAUCCCUUCCCCUUUAGCCUCAAGCAUAGAUGUAGAAGCCUGCAUAAAAUCUAGAAAAGGAAACAUAAAUGAAAGUCUUAGCACCACUACAAUAAAAGCAGUCUCAUAAACAAUGGGCCACAUCCUAAUGAACAUGUGGUGCUAUGUUCAGCGCGUAAAAACAGAAUCCACAUAUCAAUUUUGCCAACAUUAUGUGUUAACUCACUGUGGUAGGGAAUUUUUAAUAUGAGUCCAAAUCAAUCAAGGGAUAUAUGCUCAAUUCCAGCCCUUAUAAUAACACAGUAGCUAAUGAUGAAAUGCAAAGUAUACCUUGUGAUGUUUGAUGCACUCGAUUCUAAGUCUCGGUAUUAACACGAUUAGGAACAGAACAUAUUUUACAUUAGCAUUGGCAGCACAGAUUAAGUCAUAUUUGAAGCAAUGAUAGCACGGAUCACCUAAUUGACCUAAACAUGAUUGAAGCGACGAACUGAAUAAGCUUGCUCAAUGAACAGAGGGAGGUAAAUAACAUAAUCCACACUCAAUUUACAGAAAAACUAUGAAACAGAGGGUGAGUAUCAGGCACGAUAUUGUUGGAAUUUUCAACACUGCACAUAAUCAAUCUGUCGGGCAUCUUCUUAAUCCCAGUCCUAACAAGAGCACCGUAAUUACUACUGAAAUGCAGAGGAUGCCUUGUGAUGUUUGAUGUACUCGAUUCUAACUUGGCGCCGCCGUUAACAUGAAUAGGAACAAACUAACAAAGCAUUCCUUACUUUAGCAAGUGUUCGCACUACAAAUCUAGGCGUAUUUAGAGGAAGGAUCGCACAAUUGACCUAAGCAUGUUUGAAGCGACGAACUGAAUAAGCUUACUCAAUGAACAAACAGCGGCAAAAGAUGCUGAAAAUAAAUCAGAAGUGGCAGCCGAAGCUGGCGGCGAGAGCUCACCAAAUGGGGAGUCCUGGGAGGCGAGCCGGCUGGCCGCGCCGAGGCCCCGCUCCUCGAGGGGCUGGGCCCGGGCCUGCUCGAGCAGGAAGGCGAAGUCGGCGCCCUUGCUCCGCGGCGCCACCUCGCCGGCCCAUUCCGCGGCGUCGUCGGCCUCGGGUUCUUCCUCGAAGCGGUCCCAGUUGGAGGGGAGGUUGCGGCUGCGGGGGGCGGAGGAGGAGGAGCCGCCGCCGCCCCCGCCGGCGGCGGCAGCCGCGCGCUUCUGCUUGUGCGCCGCGGCCGCCGCGGGGGUCUGGUGGGUCCGGCGGCCGUGCACCGUGUGCGAGCGCUUCGACCUCGCCGCCGCCUUGGGAUCCAUCGGAGGGGAGCAGCGGAGGGAGGGUUUCCGCUGGCUUCGGCGGUGUGUCUCGAUUUGCAGUUCAACCCCUGAUAGUCUUCGUAAGAACAAAUGUGUGUUCACUUGUUCACCGAGGGUCCUGUAUAAAUUAUCAGGGGUCUAUUUAUGAUUAUACACUUUCACGAGGGCUCUUAAGCCUUUAGGACCCAAGGACAGUUCCUCAGAGGACAGAGCAGAGAGCCCAGGUAAAACCCUUCCCUUCCGUGGCUGGCUUGACGGGCGGCGGCGGCGGCGAUGCGGUUCACGGCGUCUCCGGUGGUGGAGCUGCCGGUGGGCGGCGCGGUGCUGAGCUUCGAGCAGGACAACGACUCCUUCGAGGUGGGCACCUCGGUCUGGAACUCCUCCCUGGUCCUCGUCAAGUUCGCCGAGCGCUGCCUCGGCGACGCGGCUCUGCCCUUCGCCGACGCGCUCCGCUUCGCGGGUGCCCGCGCCAUCGAGCUCGGCGCCGGAUGCGGGCCCGCCGGCAUGGGGCUCUCCCGCCUCGGCCUCGCCGACCUCGUGCUCACCGACACCGCCGCCGUCCUCCCGGCGCUCCGCCGGAACCUCCGCCGCAACCGCCGCCACCUCCCGCGCGCGCCCCGCCUCGCGCAGCUCCACUGGAACUGCCCCGCGCACCUCUCCCAGCUCGCCGCCCCGCGCCGCUACGACCUCGUCGUCGCCGCCGACGUCGUCUACGUCCAGGAGUCCGUGCCCCACCUCGUCGCCGCCAUGGACGCGCUCGCCGACGCCGAGCGCGGCGUGGUGCUCCUCGGGUACCAGAUCCGGUCCCCCGAGGCGCACCAGGCGUUCUGGGACGCCGUUCCCGCCGCCUUCCCCGUGAUCGAGAAGGUGUCCCGGGAGCACCUCGACCCGGAGUACGCCUUCGAGGAGUCCGAUGUGUUCAUACUCCGCAGGAGGCCGCGGCAGUGAGAUUUAUUCUUGUUGCCAAACAUUUGCUCGUCAUUUACAUAGCAGGUUUGCAAGAAUUGCUUAUUCCAGUUCAAAAGUAUGAGUAUUUAGUUGUGAUGGCUGGUGAAGGCCUCUGAUAUACAGUGCUGAAUGUUUGGCUUCCAUGGGUUAAUGUUUAAGUAACAUGUUAAGUUUCGCCUAUGCUUUGCGGUGUAAACAUGUCAGGUAUUUCAAGUUCAUGAUCGCAUUUGUCUGUUGCAUUGUGUUUGUGUGAUCGACAAAAAGGAAUUCAAUGUGUAGACUUAAUGGAGUUGUGGUCACUAAGCAUCUUAACACGCAACUCCUGUGUCAAAAUCAAAUCUUCUUGUGAGUGACACUCUGCCUUGAUGAACUGAUGAAAUGCCCCUCUUUCCAACUAGGGUAAGAGAUUAACUGAAUGUGACUUUAAAUUCAGAGAUAAUUAACUCAACUUCUGUGUCGAAAUCACUUUGCGAGUGACACUCUGUUUUGAUGAACUGAUGGAAAACUGGAAAUAUCCCUCCUCCCAACUUGUGCAAGAGAUAAUUGAAUGUGACUCCUGGGGUAUGCAAAAUCUGGCUGAGUACACUGAGAGGAUUUCGCCAUGUCUUCUACUAUCGUUUAAAGCAAAUAUGUUGCUGCUGUGGUUUUAUCGAAGAGUGGUUAAAACCUGAUAAGAUUUUUGAAGGAGCCACUAGUUCUGGCCUUUUGGGAAGUGCGGUGCUUAUAAUGGCUUGAACUUAAAAAUACAAUGUUUCUGUUUCCGCCCAUGUAGUUCCUUUUGGCACAUUGAAACCGUGCUGUAUGCCGAUUGCGCCCUUGAUGGGGCGAAUCGAGUUCCAUUUCCCCUUUUUACUGUUUGGUGUUGAACUUGAAGGGUGACUGGAUUCAAGGGAGUGAAUUGUCCAUCAUGGAUGUGUCGUUGAAGCCUGGAACAAACCAUGAUGCCGUGGGACUUGCACGUAGGCAUGUGUCCAGCCUGAAGUAUGCCUCUUGCUUGGGUUAUGUCUCGGGGAGCUGUACCACAAAGAGGCCUCAGAUGAUUAAACAGUUUAUGCUCUGCUCAUAUUUGUCGCAUUUUGUAGGGAGUAUGGUCAGCCUUAUGUUGAUCUUUUGGGAACUUUAUUUAGAUCUGUCUAGGAGUAAGACCUGAGCAUGGACAGACCGACUUAUUGAAAGCAAUCAGGUGUAGCUUGGGCUCCAGUUCUCCACCCAAAACCCGGUCCAAAAGGCCAAAACUUGUGAAAUGUUUUAUUGAUCGGAUAUAAAGUCUUGUAGAUACAAGAUAUACUCCCUCCAUUUCCACAUGAAUUCGCAUAUUAGGUCUCACAUCAGAAACAUGAUGUUCUUUGUCUGGGCACCUCUGGUCUUAUUUCAUCCGGCACCUCUGGGUAUUUGGAUUCUUCAAAGGUAGUAUUAGUUAUUAUAGCAGCUGUAUAUGAACAUAUACAGCUGUGGUGUCUAUGAUGUUUAAAGGCAAUAAGUUAUGGUGGAAUGGAAAUUGUAUGAUAAGUGCAGUAAGUAUAGCAGGUGUAUGUGUCGUUCAUGCUAUGAUCUGGCUCAAGCUUAUGGACACUAUUUCUAAGUCGGAUUGUGCUGUGUAAACCAAGGUAGGUAUUUUAUGUUUCCAAACAGCUUCGAUGAUACCAAGCAGAGGACAGGCAGCACUGCUGACCUUCUGCGCUUGCAGUAGCCUGGUGAGCGUUGGGCUUUGCCCUGUCAAUCGUGGUCUCGGGAAGUGGGGUUUUCUGGCUUAUGACCUUGAGCCCUUUGGCGUGUGUCUCUGCGAUGCACUCUACUAGCCUAAUUUCUGGAUGAGACUUACUACAAUACAACUGUAGUGACUAAUUCUGUUUUGUAUGGAUGCUCCAGGUAGUACACUACUGGAAAAAAGCGUCGAGGAAAGAAGAGAUCAAGAUGGUCUUGUCUGGUAACAACAGGAGCGCAUUGGACUAUUGGAGGGAGGUUCUCGUGCAGGCUGAGCAGAUGAGGAAGGAGCUCAAGUUGAGUGAGAAGGGGGAUGGUAUAUGUGAAGGGGAUAUUGGAAACAUGGGCAAUAGCUUGAUAUAUGUGAGUCGUGCAGUAACCAAACAAAACCGUUCAACCCAGGUUUUCCUGUGAUGCACUGCAGCCUAACUGUAGUUUGUAUCCAAAGCCCGGAUGCUUGUGCUUCUCUCCCUGUUUGUAGCUUGGGGUUUUCCUUUCACCGACCGCAUAUAUAAUUUUGCUUAACAAAGACCAGGUCCUGAUUAGCCAGAAUGUUCCUUCCACCAGCUAGGAUGGGCUGGAAGACAUGGCAGUGAUCCAUGACGUAUUCAUGAGUCGUUCAGGCAAAAACCAUUGCUGGUAGAACACCGAUAAUGUGUCUGUCAUCCAACCACUAAGCUGGGCACUUGUUCAAACCUUGUUGAUGCCCAGGAUGUGAUGAUCUUCCAGAUGUUUAUCCGACUCACGUCACCGUACCGUGGCCUUGGUCGCGCCAUGUAGGCGAGGCAAAGUAGCUGUCGGAGUCGUCACCUGAUGGACUGUGGCCACGACCAUCCUGGUUGACUCUGCUAGCAGCUCAGGAACAGGUCCCGUAAAAACAAAAGCAGCUCAGGAACAGGAAUCUGGAUUAUGAGAGUCGUCGUGUCAGCAUUAUGUCAUCUCCCUAUUAAGAUUACUACGUCUCCAGUAAAUUCAGGCCGUGUUCUCACAAAAAAAAAAGUAAAUUCAGGCCGUGAAAGGCACACUGGAGAUUUCGGCCCGUUCACGGCGGGAAUCUGAAGAAAAGAUAGAUCCGCCUAACAAUUCGGCAUCGGCAAGUAUCAAGUGUGCAGGAACUUACGUCUAAAACAAAGGGUACAGGAACUAGAUCAAGACGCGAGGUUCCCCUUCCCAAACCGUUACGAUGCGACGUUCGAAGCCGAGGGCGAUCACCCAGCGGACGCAAUGCCGCCAGGAGGAGAUCCUGUCGCGGGUGCCCUACAGGUCGCUAUGCCGAUUCAAGUGCGUGUCCAGACUCCAGACCAUGGCUCGCCCUCUGCUCCGACCACGGCGUCCGCAAGAGGUCGCCGCAGACGCUCUCCGGCUUCUUCCAUUUUAACCGCGGUUGGCGCUUCCACAAUUUGUCCGGGAAAGGCCCUCCCAUGGUCGACCCCGACCUCCCUUUCUUGCGCGGCACCUACGGACACUUUGAGGUCGAACAAUGCAGCACCAGCCUUCUCCUCUGCAGAUGCUGGAAAGCACCCCAUCCUAAGCUACUCGGUUGGAAUUCGUUUCCGAAAGGCAGGGUUGUUGAGCGCUUCAGAUGGGGAAUUAUGUCGUCUGCAAUCCUGCUACUCGGCAGUGGGCUUUGCUGCCUCCUGUUCCUCCUGUAGAAUUGCACAACCAGAAGCAGGCAGAUGAUGACCUUUUCCGUGCCAUCACAGGCCACUACUUUUUGGGUUCUGAUCCAGCCGUUCCAUCACGCUUUGUGGUGUUUGUGCCCGUGUUUGGCAUCGGCCUGCCGAUGACAUGGAUCUACUCAUCAGAAACUAGAGAAUGGGCUUCCAUCCGGUGCCAGUUGGAUGCUUAUGUUAAUAAUCCACGGUGCUUCUUUUUGAAUGGCACUAUCCUUUAUUUUUGUAACUUCCUUUCAAUAGUCACGGUGAACAUGGAGGGAAAUGUGUGGCGGAAAUGAAAUUGCCACCUGCCAUGACAAACAUAUAUCUUGGUCCUUCCUUUGGGCAGUCCCAAGGAUGCCUGUAUGCUUGGCGGAUGUACGAUUGCCAACUCUCUGUUUGGGCUCUUGAGAACUAUGAUGGUGGACAGUGGACCCUAAGGUGUGUUGUUGGCUGCCUUGAACUGUUCGGAAGGGAUUGUCGCAAAGAAGACGAGGCCUCCUGGAUGUUUGCAAUUCAUCCAGGUAGGUAGAAAAGGGAAGAAAUGAUGGAGGGGAGGAGGAAGAGGUAAUAUAUAUAAUGGUUGUGGCGUUACAGACUUAGUAGUGGCGCACCAUGGGUGUGGUGCGCCAUUACUAGUUUUGAAAUUUCGAAACUAGUAAUGGCGCACCACACCCAUGGUGCGCCACUACUAACUUUGUUUAUUUUUUUGAAUUUGGAAGGCGGGAAAAUUACUAAUGGUGCACCACUACUAAUUUUUUUAUUUUUUCGAUUUUUUUGCCUUCAGAUCUUAAAAGCCUCGUAACUUUUUUCUGUUAGGUUUUUGAGGAUUCUAGAAAAUCGAAUACGGGCAUAGCCCGUCAAAUUCGGAUGUAAUAUUUCGAGUAGAUGAUUUUUCAUAUAAAAAACUUUUUCAUCGGAGGUCGUAUGCAAAAGUUACGACCAUUUUACCGAAACACGGCGGCCUUUUGCAAAAAAAUCCAAAAUUCAUGUUUGUUAAUUUUCCUAACAACUAGAACACAUAACACAUGGGCAUCUAUUUUUUGAAUCUUUUAUCAUUUUCUUUUAUUAAAAAAAACAAAAGACGAUCCAGGGGGUGUGUUUGUGUGUGCGAGACGUUAGUAAUGGCGCACCCCUCUCACACACACACGCAGGCACACCCCCACCAGACAUAGCAAUGGCGCACCACACCUAGGUGCGCCACUAUUAUGUAGCAUAGCUGUGGUGUGCCAUUGCUAUGUCUAAUGGGGAGGGGGAUGGACCAAAAAAAUAGCAAUGGCGCAUUGCUCAUGUAGUGCGUCAUUAGUAAAAACAUAGCAAUGACGCACCUGAUUCUGAUGCGCCACUGCUAUAUAGCAGUGGCGCACCAUCAUUGUGGUGCGCCACUAGUAGAGAUAUAAGCCUUUUUCUAGUAGCGUGGAAACUACUUUUUUUUUUUGAAAAGGAAGUUGAACCCCCGGUCUCUGCAUCAAUCGGUGCAUACAUUCAUCUUUAUUAAUUAUUCCACAAAGAUUUAACAAAAGCAUACAUCAAGCCACCCGAAGCCACCACUCACAUCUAUAAACUAUUUCUGAGUUGGAUUAUUGCAUUGUAAACUGAGGUAGCGUAUUUUACGUUUCCAAACAGCUCUGAGGGAACAAUGAUGGCAAGCAGACCUUCACGUACAUUAGUUUUGGGGAGCGUUGGGCUUGUAAUGUCGAUCGCGGUCUUGGAAAGUGGCAACAACCGGUUCUGGCUUAUGACCUCUAGCCCCUUGAAGUAUGUCUCUGCGAUAGAUGCACUCUACUAGCCAAAAAUUUGAAUGAAACUUACAAUACAAAUGUGGUAACCGUGUUUUUUUAUGGGUGUCCCAAGGGAGUGUGCUAUUGGACAAAAGCAUCGAGGAAACACAAGAGAUCAGAUCUUGUUGGCCGAAUCAUUGGUGACUUGGGACGAAAACCUUGUGCAAAGCUUCUUUGCUGAUCCUAUUGCGGAACAAAUUCUACAAGUUCCCAUAAGUCGUUUUGGGGGAGAUGACUUCCUGUCGUGGCCCCAUGACAAGCUUGGCACCUACUCGGUCAAGUCUGGCUAUAAUCUUACUCGUAGUGAGAACUUCUUCUCCUCUACAAGUGGAAAGGGCAAGGGUCUGGCUUCCAAUAUUCAGGUGCAAGAAAAAGGAGUGGAAGGCCCUUUGGUCAGUCAUUUGUCCAAACAAAAUGAAGAUUGUUUUGUGGCGUUUCGUGCAUGAUUGUUUGCCUACGGGUUUCCAGCUGGUGAGGCAUCACAUUCCAGCUGAUGAUGGCUGUUUUUUCUGCAACCGGACAGAGAGUGUGGAGCAUCUCUUCCUGCUGUGUCCCUUCGCUCGUUCCGUUUGGAAAGGGGUUAAAGAGGAGUUCAGUGUCAGCCUGUGUAGAAAAGACAUGGUUAAUGGCCGUCAAUGGAUGUUCGAUUUCCUGGCUCAUGCUUCGAAGCUCCAAGCUACUGUUGUGGCUAUCACUCUAUGGCAUAUCUGGGAAGCUAGAAAUGAGGUACGUAAUAAUGGUACCAAUGUGCAUCCUGCUAGAACUGCUUUAAAAGUUCGUGCCUAUGUCCGUAUGGUGUUGCAGCAUUGUUCUAAGCCUAAACCUGGUCCCAGGCGUGAGUCUUCUUCUUCAACUCUUAUUUGGACUCCGCCACCUGCUGGUGUGGUGGCUGUGAAUGUUGAUGCGGCGCUGUUCCCUUCUAUCCGACAGAUGGGCAUGGGCUUUGUGGCUAGGAAUCAUCUUGGGAAGUGCAUGUUUGCUGGCAAUGAGCAGCUUUAGGGCUUCUCUGAACCGGAGAUGGCUGAGGCGCUUGCCAUCCAGCGUGCUCUUGAGGUUUGUCGAUCUGAAGGCUGUUUGUCAAUUGUUUUGGCAUCUGACUGCCUCUCCAUGGUGAACAAAAUCAAGUCUCCGGCUCAAGAUCGAUCAAGAGUGGGCACUGUUGUCUCGGACAUCAAAUCUCUCGCGUCUGGGUUUACUCAAUGUUCUUUCUUACAUGUUCUCGUAGUUGUGAGCAUUCUGUUAAUCUUUUUUAUCUUGGUGUGGUUCCGGAUUGUAUCAGGGACGAUCUUUGCUGUGAUGUUCAGUAAUCAAUGAAGUACUGUUAAUCUAAAAAAAAGAGAUCAAGGUCAAGAUGGUCUUCUGUGAUGAUGACGGGAACAUAUCCGAGGUUCUUGUGCAGGGCAUUGAUGUGCAGGUUGAGCAGAUGAAGAAGGAGCUAAUGAUAUAUGUGAAUAUAUAGGAUAUUCGAGACAUGACCAAUAGUUUAAUAUCUAGUACUUCCUUUGAUCUAUAAUAAGUGUCGCAACACUUAUUUUGGUCGAAGGGAGUAGUAACCAAACAAACCGUUCAACCUAGGCUUUCAUGUGAUGCACAAACUGGCGAGAAGCAACAGAGAAAAGUUUGUUUACAGGACGGAUCAUGAACUUAUGUGCCCCAAAGCAAGUUGUGAUAGGGUUUUUUUUUUUUGACGGUAAAGUUGUGAUAGGUUAGCAGAACUCCAUCCAGUGGGUUUGGCACAAGGAAUCGAAUAGGUCCGUUCCCCUGGACUUGAUGAUGCUCGGACAGCACCGCAGCCUAAUAUAAUUAACUGUAGUUUGUAUAGAAAUUAGCCUGAAUGCUUGUUUUAUUAUCUCCCUAGUUGUAGCUUAAUUAGUAAACAGAAAUGUUUCGUUUCUCUUGCUUCAUAUUUUUGCUUAGCAAAUACCAGGUCCUAAUUAGCCAAAAUCUUCCUUCCACUAGGAUGGGCUGAAGACCGUGGGCAGUGAUCCAUGGCGUAUUUUCAGCACCACAUGCGCAAAGGUGUGACAUGGACUAUCCAGGAGUCGUCUCGGCAAACCAUUUGCCUGCAGCAUAAGUAAGGCUCUGUUCGGGAUCCCUUCUCACCGCUCCGACUCCGUGGAGUCGUGGAGCUCAGUUUUUGCAGCUCCGCGAAAAUAAUCCAACCACUUAAGCUGACUACUUGUUCAAACAUUGUUGAUGUCAGGAACUGAUCUGAUCUUCCAGAAUCCAGAUGUUCAUCCCACUCUCAGAUCAAUCGUCGUACCGUGGCCUUCGUCGCCCCACGUAGGCAGGCGGCACAAGGCGCUGUUGGAGUCGUCAUCACCUGAUUACUUCUACACGUUUUAGAUAUGUGAUGAUCACGGCUCUUGGUUGAUUGUGCUGAACAUGGACUUGAAUUCUGGGAGGCGUCAUGCCAGCUCCUUAUCAACACGCCUCCAGGUGAAAUUCAGGCGGUGAAAAUAAUUCAGUUUGACUAAUUCACAUCUAGAUGUUUUUUUAAGGAUGUUACAUCUAAACUUCCACAGAUAUAUAAUGCAGCAACAAAAAACAAAAAAAACUAGGACAAAAAAAUAGACCAUAAAAAGAGUGGACAUCAGUUUAGAUGUGACAUAACUAUGUCACAUCUAGAUGUGUCUUAGACAAAUCCAAAAUAAUUUAGCGGUUGGGAAAUCCACGAGAAUUUUACAAGAAUUUCACGAGAAACAAUUUGAUUACAGUACGACCGGAAUUAAGAACAAAAUAAAUAAGAUGUACCUAACGAUCAGAAUCAACUGGCCUGAAUGUUGAAGCCAUGCGUGCAUUUUUCAGCCCUUAAGCGUCAUCGGACGGCUUCCCCUCGCACGUUUCACUGGUCAUAGACUCGCUCGCACAAGGGAUCUCUACCUUCUGGAAAUUCUUGACCCUUUCAGUUCCAUCUUUUUCACCGUCACUUUCUCCUUACAAUUCACCAACCGUUGGCACAUGCCCUUGUGCGUCUUGAGUCGCUGAGCUCAUCUGAAUCUGGGCGAAUUGUGUCUGAGCGCGACGUGUCAACUUCACCAGCUCAUGCAGUAGCAUACUGGAGUAUCUCUCUCUUUUUUUUUUACCUGGAGGGCAUUCUCUCGAGAGCAUUAUCUCACGUCGUUUUCCCAAUAGAAGAAAAGGUGGAAUUCCCAUUAUCGGUGUUAAACAACAUAUUGUCACGUCAUAUAUGUUGUUACGUUCCAUAUCGCUUCGGCUAGAGGUUAGCGCAAGUAGAGAUAGAUAGGAUUCUCUUUAAGUGUUGUAAUCUCCUGAUCCUUUCUUCUCUUUCAAGAUGUAAACCUCCUGUAACCGAACUCUUUGUACGCAAUCAGGGUUUUGCCCCUGACCUAUAUUAACACGCAGGCUCGGUCUCAACAGGUACGACGCUUCAUAGAAAGUUUACAAUCGGAACGCGAAGCAUGCAGCGUCAGCAAUGCACAAUUAGUCAAUGUUUCUUUCAUUUUACGCAUCUGUGCUUUGAUCAGACCUCCAUUCGUCAUACCUAUGUUUAAGACGGACUCGGCACCCUGCUGAGCUCAACUGAAUUGGUGCAAGUUGUGCUGAGCUUGACGUGCUAACUGCAGUAAUUCUUUUUUAGCUGAAUGACAUUUGAGCAUGCAUCAGCAAUGGGUAGUUAUUCAACGUACGUAUGGAGAUAGUCAACGCUCAUUUCAUAUUUGUACUACUGCUCCAUCUUGAUUGGUGACACGCAGUGCCCUCAAGAGCGCAUAACAGGGAAAUCAAUGUUGAAGCCAUAGGAAAACAGACAGUGGUGCUGCUGGGAGAUUUCCAUGUUAAACGUUUACUUUGCCUGGGCUCAAGUUCGCAUGAUGAGCUCGGUUUUUGCUUUUUCAAAAACGAAGGCAAGAGAUUUGCCUCGUCGAUUAAUUAAACAGAAGAGAAAUUGUUCAGCUAAUUUUUGGGAGGAGGUUUCUCUUGUCAACACGAUCAGAAUAUCCGACACAGUGCCGUUUCAUGAAAACAUCCAGAGAACCAUGCAAAGCUAGCUGCUGUACAAUUGGAACGAACAUCAUUUACAUACAGUGCUAAAUACUCCAGUACAGUACAUCUAUCUUCACUCGUCGAUCUAUUUACAGGCGUGUGUGGUCGAAACUAAAUUCACUUGAAAUAAUUUAAAAUUAUCAUCGACUAGCUAACUAUCCCUAAUAGCAUCACCAUUACUGAUUGAUCCCAAGAGUCAAAAGGAGAAAUGAAAACAGGGAGAAAAGACUGCUAACUACGAACUCCCAAUCAGAAGGCCCGUCCCGUAUAUGCGUCUCCGAUUUGUCUCACAGCCAGAGCGCGCCGGCGUCCUUGAGCAUGGGCACGAGCUCGCCGGAGAUGUGCACGGCCAUGAGCCGGUCGAGCCCGCCGAGGAGCCUCCCGCCCACGAACACGGCCGGCAGCGCGAAAACGGCCUCGCCACCGGGAGCCCCGGCGAGCUCGGCCUCGUCGGCGACCUCGUGCACGGCGGGGUUCACCCCGAGCCCCUGCAGCAGCCGCUCCACCACGUGGCUGAGGCAGCACCCGCGCCUCCCCACCACCAGCACCGGGCUCUCCGCCACCGCCCUCCUCACCGCCUCCCCGCCAUCGCCUGCUCGCCUAUUCUCCUGACCAGCCGUGCCGACGACCUCGGCCGGCUCGGACCGCCGCGACCACGCCGGCAGCCGGGCGGCGCUGUACGGGAUCGCCUGGUACAUCUCGACGCCGAUCAAUUGAUGCGUGGUGCCGUGGUGUGUGCAGCUUGCGUACGUGGUGUGACGAGCAACGGGAGCGAGGCUGGACAUAUAAAAGGGAGGUGGCGUCACCCGACGACCAUCGCGAGCGCCGGCCAGGUGGGUAUGCGUUCUUCUCUUGGGCGGGCUCCAUGCGGCGAGGACGACGGCGACCGCGGCCUUUCCGCGCUCCGUGUGAUUGUGUGCAUGCAACGCGCCGUGACGUGUCGGCGGGUCAGCCGCGGUUGCGGGGCGGUUUGAUGGGCCCGGCUCGUGACGCGCGGCUACGUGGCGGGUCACGAUUGCCGGGGUGGCUGGCUCUCUCUUGCUCUCUGGUGGGCCCGCCCGUAGCCGGCUGGCGCAGGAGGACAUCGUGGAAAAAAUUUAGGAUCAGCUUGCUUCAAUUUUUUUCUAGGGGUGCCAACACCUUAUUGAUCUAUUUGGACAGUGAGAUGAGUGCGGGUUAAUGACAUAAGUGGCGACCCUGAUCAAGCAAAAAAGAGUGUUUGGCAAAGUUGUGUGCAUCAACAUUUGAUGCUCUACUUUCAAAAAUAAAACAACUAAUAAAAUUAGAUCUAAGAAGUGAUAUUUCUCUAAUUACUGUCAAAUAAGCUCCCCCUUUCCAUCAUGUAUGCCAUCUAUCACUGGUUUGCAAUCACACGCCACCAUGAAGUUCUUAAGAGAAAGGUCCUCUACAAGUGCUAGUGCCUCAUGGAAGGUUAUGGCCUCCAAGACUGCCGGAUUGGUAACUCCCAAAAUCACGAAGCUAUGUGUCACGGAAGGUUAUGGCCUCCAAGACUGCCGGAUUGGUAACUCCCAGAAUCACGAAGCUAUGUGUCACGGAAGGUUAUGGCCUCCAAGACUGCCGGAUUGGUAACUCCCAAAAUCACGAAGCUAUGUGUCACGGAAGGUUAUGGCCUCCAAGACUGCCGGAUUGGUAACUCCCAAAAUCACGAAGCUAUGUGUCACGGAAGGUUAUGGCCUCCAAGACUGCCGGAUUGGUAACUCCCAGAAUCACGAAGCUAUGUGUCACGGAAGGUUAUGGCCUCCAAGACUGCCGGAUUGGUAACUCGCGAAAUCACGAAGCUAUGUGUCACGGAAGGUUAUGGCCUCCAAGAUUACCGGAUUGGUAACUCGCGAAAUCACGAAGCUAUGUGUGACGGAAGGUUAUGGCCUCCAAGACUGUCGGAAGUGCUCGAAGAGGCCAAGUACAAGCCAUCAUGCAUGGCCUCUACAUACUGCUACCGAUGCUCCUACUCCAGUAUUGGAGAGCCCACAUCUACGUAGAUUUUCAUCCGCCCAAGCAGGGGUGGCUUCCACGCUGAGCUCGCUGAGUAGCAAGCCUAUAUGUUACAUGUUUGAUGAUGCGUUGGACAACACAUUGAUAGUAUCCAGCUUAGAAAUGAAGUGUUUCACGAAGCUAUGUCUCGCCAGUGGGUUUUUCAUACUCUACUUGUUCAGUAUUUCUAUACUCAUUCUUGGGUUCGUCUUGUCUUCAUGCCCUAGAUAACAAUACUUCCACCUCCUUCUCUCUCCCCUGGUUCCCGGGUGUGCUUCGUCCAUCCCCCAUGGCCUCAAGGACCGAAUCUCGCCCCUGUGGACUCCCACCGUCUUAGCCGGCCGUGGCCUGCUUGGUGGCGGCACGGCCCUCGGCGGGCGUGGGGGUGAGGCAUGCUGCUUCCUUUAGUUCCUGGUGGCGCAGCUACCCUAGGUGGCUGGCGGCCUUGGAGGGAGUUCCCAGCCGCCGAUGGAGGCUUGAUAUGGAAGAUCCAGCAAGCUCUUGACACGGUCUGAUGGUAUCCUUGGGCAUGGCCAGUCCCUCGUCGGUGACCCUUGGAGUUGCUUCUUGUGGGCACCCGGUAACCCAGAUCUAGGGUUCUUCUUCAUGCGGGUGCAAGUUGCAAUCUUUGGGGUGUAGUGGGUCGCGAAUUUGCGUCAAUGCGACAGCAGGGGUGGUCGGCCGCGUGCUUGCGGCCAAUCUCCAUGUGGGUGGUGGGUGAGGGUGGAUCCCCGUGGUAGUUGGAGCGAUGGCUUCGGGCGGUGGGCAUGGUGACACCAUUUCGGUGGGUGUUGCUGCGCAGGUGCUCGUGUGUCGCCUCGCCACUUGGGAGGCGAGGUGGAUCUCGGUGGGCGUCCGUCAUGCGGAUGUGUUAUUCACUGCCAACCCGCCUGGUUUGGGUGCUGUUCCAUCUUACCUUGGCCGACUAUGACUGAUGGACCUAGUUGGUAGGCGUCGUGUCCCGAGCGAAAGCUCUGCCCGACGAUGUCGGGGCCGGUGAUAGUGGUACUCAUGUGUGCCGCUACCUCCUUGGAGGUUUCAUCGUGGGUGACCUCCAUCCACUAUGGGCUCUGGGUGAAACCCUUGGUCUGGCAUGUUCCAGACCGGGCGGUGGUGUCGUUUCCUCCUUGGAGGCUCCGUCUUGUGAGCAAGGUCCCAUCUUGCCGGUCGUUGAGGUGCAUUAUGUAGAUGGCAGCUUGUUCUCGUCGUGUCUCAGUUAAUGUUUCAAAGACGUCGCACUCUUGAUGAGCUAGGUACGGCAAGGUGGCUAUGCUCGAAGGCCUUCCUUUGUUGUCUUGGUGCCAGCUUCCAUCUGCGCUCUAGGGUGGUGAGCACUCCAUUGUUCGAACGGUGGGACACCCUUCGAGCCAGGGCAAGGAGCUGGGAGCCCCUAUUCGCGAUGGAACAAGAUGACGUUGUUCUACCAGACGCCCAGGCGAUGGGAAUGGCAUAGCCUCCUCCCCCGGCUGGUCUUCUUCUUGAGUUGGCUUCCUUCGCAGUGUUGGUCCUCUGAUCAUGUUUGAGGGCUCUAAUUUCUUGUAUUUUUAGCUUUGUUGCUGCUCGCGGGCACCUAUGCAUUUUGCUGGAGUUUUUCUUUUCUUUUGUUGAGUUGUACCAUUGGUUGUAAGGUUGUAAGGAUUUCAUUAAUUUAAAACCUGACGCCAGCCUCUUUUCAUUUCAAGUUCAAAUGGGGAAUACCCACAUGCUACGCACGUAGGUACUCCCUCCGUCCGUGAAUAAGUGUACAUCUAGUUUUUGUCCUAAGUCAAAGUUUUAAAAUUUGACCAACUUUAUAAAGGAAAAGUAGCAGCAUUUAUGACACUAAAUUAGUAUCGCUAGAUUCGUUUUGAAAUGUACUUUCAUAAUAUAUCAAUUUGAUGUCAUAUAUACUACUACUUUUUUGUAUAAUAUUGGUCAAAACUUUAAAACUUUGACUUAGGACAAAAAUUAGGUGUAUACUUAUUCAUGGACGGAGGGAGUAGUACUCUACCAAAUUGCUAGCGUCUAGCAGCACACCCAGUGCGGCCGGCGUUCACCGGCCGGCCGGGGAAAUGACGGCUGUCCCGUGGCAUGCAUGCGAACGGCUGACGGCGCGCUGCUCCAGUAAAACUAGACAUGACAACAGCGCUGUCGGUCGUCGUUUCCCAUCGCGCGGUAAAGUUGGGUGUGUGAGAUUUUUUUUUUGAACAGUCACCGGGGGAGAGCUCCCCACCUGAAUUUGAUCUCAUUCAAAGAAAAAUUGAUGCAGUUUAUAAGAAAAAUCAGAUCGAAAAUCUUAACAAAAUUGACCCGUUUAUAAGAAAAAUCAGGUCGAAAACCAUACAAGUGAAGAUGAGAAAAAUGGAUGCCUGGAACAUGGCCCGACCUAGUUCGCAGACUGAAGGUCCAUCACCAUGAGAGGCACAAGUAGAUGUGGGAUACUGUAGAAGGAUCACAAUACCAAGACUUUGCAAGCAGCCUAAUGCACCGCACCGGAGUGCGUACUAAACCCCGCGGCACAACACAAGAGCAUAUAUGAUCAAGAGUGCUACAUGAACACGAACCUUGACUGCGAGCUCUGCCAUAGGAGUUCAGAACGAUUAACAACUUCGGGAGGUGGCUUGCAUCAUCAUUGAGCAAAGAAGAACCGGGACAACACCAAUAACACGAAGCUCGCCGCACCACAACAGCAGCCAUGGGAGGGACUUGAGCAAGCACAACAACAUGGAUGACAGCGAAGGGCUUGACGAAGAGGCAAAGUCGACGGUGGUAUGAGAUGGCCGGGAAGGAGAUGGGUGGAUUGACGCAUGGAUUCUUGCGACACCUUCAAAAAGGUUAAUGACACCCACGGACGCCAUCAUUACAGGGCUUUCGCCCGAGUCCACUGCUGUGCUGGGACCAAAGUGCUGGGACUCCACAGCAGCACCUUCAAGAAAAGGAAGCGGCGGCGUCGCCGUUGCUGCGGCUAGCAAGGAGCUAGGGAAGGGAUUUCUCCCGGAGACAGAGCAGCAAAAGGUCUUCCGCAGACACUACACCACUGGCAACAAAAUAACUCGAAUCACGAAAAACAAGAGAGAUGCAUGGAUGGAUGAACGUAGAUACAAGAGAUUAACGGCCACUUCUUUCUUCAUCAUUAAUUAACAAGUUGUUGACGGAACAGGGUCUUACACACGUAGUACAUGCCAAACUUCAGAUCCUUAAACAGACUCAAAGUCCCAAGCAGAAGAGAAUCAUGCUAGAUAGUACUUACUAGUACUAGUAGCCAGGUACCAUCAAACACAAAGCAUGCAUAAAACAACACACGAUGAAGUAGAAGAGAACUGAUGAUGAACUGGCCAUUUCUGCUCGUACAAGCAGAUCCAAGAAUGCUACUAGCUCCAAUUCCGUCCGUACGUCGUCCUCUGGCGCAUGUCCUCUCCACAGCAAACCUUCUUCCACGGGACGCCAACGGAAUCGCCGAGGACCACCACCUAGGCAAAGACAUCCGGCCGGCAGAUUAGCCCGGAUGGUACAAGCAC
rnacentral:lncRNA from 1 species